UACGUAGGGGGCUAGCGUUGUCCGGAUUUAUUGGGCGUAAAGAGCGUGUAGGCGGCCAGAUAGGUCUGCUGUGAAAACUCGAGGCUCAACCUCGAGAUGUCGGCGGAAACCAUUUGGCUAGAGUCCGGAAGAGGAAAGUGGAAUUCCUGGUGUAGCGGUGGAAUGCGCAGAUAUCAGGAGGAACACCGAUGGCGAAGGCAGCUCGCUGGGACGGUACUGACGCUGAGGCGCGAAAGCGUGGGGAGCGAACAGG
rnacentral:rRNA from 1 species